rnacentral:lncRNA from 1 species
CCUCCAAAGAAGCCAGCACCGAUAGGAGAAUUCCAGAGUACAGAGCCAGAACAGAGUUGUGCUGAUACUCCAGUGUUUCUAGCUAAGCCACCAAUUGGGUUUUUCACAGAUUAUGAAAUUGGUCCAGUUUAUGAGAUGGUAAUUGCGCUGCAGAACACCACCACGACCAGCCGCUACCUGCGAGUCCUCCCGCCUUCCACGCCAUACUUCGCUCUGGGACUGGGCCAUUGCAACCGUCGGCUUUGUUGAACAACCUCCUUUUGGAAUCCUGCCUUCGGUGUUUGAGCUGGCCCCGGGACAUGCUAUAUUAGUGGAGGAAUUGGGCAGCUGAUUGCUUUGGAUCUGAUCUAUAUUUCUGGUGAAAAAAGCCAGCCAGACCCUGGAGAGCUCACAGACUUAACAGCCCAGCACUUCAUACGAUUUGAGCCUGAAAACCUUCGGUCCACGGCUAGGAAGCAGCUGAUUAUUAGAAAUGCUACCUGAGGGAUUUUCACAGUGUGCUCCAGAUGGUGCUAGAGGAAGUCCCAGAGCCU